rnacentral:rRNA from 1 species
GAGUUUGAUUCUGGCUCAGGAUGAACGCUAGCGAAAUGCCUAACACAUGCAAGUCGAACGGGUCUUGCGCUGUACUUGUACAGAGUAAGAUUAGUGGCAAACGAGCGAGUAACGCGUGCUUAACCUGCCCCGAAGAUGGGUAUAACUGCAGAGAUGUAGCUAAUUCCCAAUAUGCUCACGAUGGUGAAAUCCCAAUGUGAGGAAAGAUUUAUCGCUUCGGGAGGGGGGUGCGUCCUAUCAGGUAGUUGCUAAGGUAACGGCUUACCAAGCCUAUGACGGGUAACCGGUCUGAGAUGAUGUCCGGUCGCGAUGGGACUGAGAUACGGCCCAUACUCCUACGGAAGGCAGCAGUGGGGAAUCUUGCACAAUGGACGAAAGUCUGAUGCAGCAAUUUCGCGUGAAGGAUGAAGCAUUACGGUGUGUAAACUUCUUUUUUGGAGGAAGACGAA